AACGCACAUUGCGCCCGCCAGUACUCUGGCGGGCAUGCCUGUCCGAGCGUCAUUUCAACCAUCAAGCCCCGUAGCUUGUGUUGGGGACCUGCGGUUGCACGCAGGCCCCGAAAUGCAGUGGCGGGCUCGCUGGCACAACCGAGCGUAGUAGCAUAAACCUCGCUCAGGGCGUGCCUCGGGUUCUAGCCGUAAAGCCUCCUGGCACUAGGUUGGCCUCGGAUCAGGUAGGAAGACCCGCUGAACUUAA
rnacentral:misc_RNA from 2 species